rnacentral:rRNA from 1 species
UACAGGCAGGACAAGCGUUAUUCAUCAUUAUUAGGUGUAAAAAGUGCGUAGGCAAUAAAAUUUUUAAAUUUUUUUAAAGGCUAAAAGGGCUGUGCAAAAAUUUUAAGUUUUUAAAGAGUGCAGUGGAGGUGGGUGUAAUUGCUAAAAGAGGGGUGAAAUCCAAGGAAAUUAGUAGGAAAGCUAAAUGCGAAGGCUAUCUUCCACGCUGUUCUGUCGCUGAGGUACGAAGGUCUGGGUAUCAAACGGG